GACGAACCGAGCGAACGUUGUUCGGAAUCACUGGGCUUAAAGGGCGCGUAGGCGGGCUGUCAAGUCUGGGGUGAAAUCCCGCGGCUCAACCGUGGAACUGCCUCAGAUACUGACGGUCUCGAGGGAGGUAGGGGCGAGCGGAACUGAUGGUGGAGCGGUGAAAUGCGUUGAUAUCAUCAGGAACUCCGGUGGCGAAGGCGGCUUGCUGGACCUCUUCUGACGCUGAGGCGCGAAAGCCAGGGGAGCAAACGGG
rnacentral:rRNA from 1 species